AUGCUAUAAAGUGAAGUGAAGAGGGAAAUUUUAUGUUUUCUGAUUUGUGGUUCUUUCGCCAUUUUUGUAAUAUAUGAUUAAAGUUUUACGUGCGCUAAAAGAUGAGUGGUGGUAUCAUAUAAACAUUUGACAAAUUUAACUAAGGCAAAGCAUACAUAUGCGGUUGGAUGCAACGGACUAUGACGUUGUAUAUUUACGAAGAAGCCGAGUGGAGAAAAUCUUGUUCUAGGAGAAUCUUUUUUAUUUU
rnacentral:misc_RNA from 1 species